CGAGUCGGCAGGACGGCCGCGACGGUGGAGGCGUCCACCGCCGAGGAAAGUCCGGACUCCACAGGGCAGGGUGGUUGCUAACCGCAACCCGGGGCGACCCGCGGGAAAGUGCCACAGAAAGCAGACCGCCUCGGGCCGCGCCGGCGAACGUCGAGCGCGGCCCGAGGUAAGGGUGAAACGGUGGUGUAAGAGACCACCAGCAUCCCGGGUGACCGGGAUGGCUCGGUAAACCCCACCCGGAGCAAGGCCAAGAGGGAGCCUCGUUGCUCCUGCGCAGGCGAUUGAGGGUGACCCGCCCGAUGCCUGCGGGUAGGCCGCUUGAGCUUGCCGGCGACGGCAGGCCUAGAUGGAUGGCCGUCCCCCUACGGCCGCCGUAGGCACCCCGGGUGUCGGCGGUGUUGCCGGCGGGGACAGAAUCCGGCUUACAUGUCGACUCGUCCG
rnacentral:RNase_P_RNA from 1 species